rnacentral:rRNA from 1 species
GUGGGGAAUUGUUCGCAAUGGGCGCAAGCCUGACGACGCAACGCCGCGUGGAGGACGAAGAUCUUCGGAUCGUAAACUCCUGUCGAGCGGAACGAACGGCUUCCGGUUCAACACACCGGGAGAAUGACGGUACCGCGAGAGGAAGCCCCGGCUAACUCCGUGCCAGCAGCCGCGGUAAUACGGGGGGGGCGAGCGUUGUUCGGAAUUACUGGGCGUAAAGGGCGCGCAGGUGGCCACUUCAGUCGGACGUGAAAUCCCCGGGCUCAACCCGGGAACUGCGUCCGAUACUGGGCGGCUCGAAUCCGGGAGAGGGAUGCGGAAUUCCAGGUGUAGCGGUGAAAUGCGUAGAUAUCUGGAGGAACACCGGUGGCGAAGGCGGCAUCCUGGACCGGUAUUGACGCUGAGGCGCGAAAGCCAGGGGAGCAAACGGGAUUAGAAACCCUAGUAGUCC